rnacentral:rRNA from 1 species
AGAGUUUGAUCCUGGCUCAGGAUGAACGCCGGCGGCGUGCCUAACACAUGCAAGUCGAGCGAGAACUUUGGGAUUGAGACUUCGGUCGAUUGAACAGAGGGAAAGCGGCGGACGGGUGAGUAACGCGUAGGCAACCUGCCUCAAGCAGAGGGAUAGCCACUGGAAACGGUGAUUAAUACCUCAUAACGCGGAGGGAUUACAUGAUUCUUCCGUCAAAGAUUCAUCGGCUUGAGAUGGGCCUGCGUCUGAUUAGCUUGUUGGUGAGGUAACGGCUCACCAAGGCGACGAUCAGUAGCCGACCUGAGAGGGUGAUCGGCCACAUUGGAACUGAGACACGGUCCAAACUCCUACGGGAGGCAGCAGUGGGGAAUAUUGCACAAUGGGGGAAACCCUGAUGCAGCAACGCCGCGUGAGCGAAGAAGGCCUUUGGGUCGUAAAGCUCUGUCCUUGGGGACGAAAAAAAUGACGGUACCCAAGGAGGAAGCCCCGGCUAACUACGUGCCAGCAGCCGCGGUAAUACGUAGGGGGCAAGCGUUAUCCGGAUUUAUUGGGCGUAAAGAGUGCGUAGGCGGUUUUGUAAGCGUGGGGUGAAAGGCAUUGGCUUAACCAAUGUAAGCCCCACGAACUGUAAGACUUGAGUGCAGGAGGGGAAAGUGGAAUUCCCAGUGUAGCGGUGGAAUGCGUAGAUAUUGGGAGGAACACCGGUGGCGAAGGCGGCUUUCUGGACUGUAACUGACGCUGAGGCACGAAAGCGUGGGGAGCAAACAGGAUUAGAUACCCUGGUAGUCCACGCUGUAAACGAUGAGCACUAGGUGUCGGGUUCGCAAGAGCUCGGUGCCGGAGUUAACGCAUUAAGUGCUCCGCCUGGGGAGUACGUUCGCAAGAAUGAAACUCAAAGGAAUUGACGGGGACCCGCACAAGCAGCGGAGCAUGUGGUUUAAUUCGAAGCAACGCGAAGAACCUUACCAGGGCUUGACAUCCCUCUGACAGACGUGUAACGGCGUCCUCCCUUCGGGGCAGAGGAGACAGGUGGUGCAUGGUUGUCGUCAGCUCGUGUCGUGAGAUGUUGGGUUAAGUCCCGCAACGAGCGCAACCCUUGCCGAUAGUUGCCAGCGAGUAAAGUCGGGAACUCUAUCGGGACCGCCGGGGACAACUCGGAGGAAGGUGGGGAUGACGUCAAAUCAUCAUGCCCCUUAUGUUCUGGGCUACACACGUGCUACAAUGGCCGGUACAGAGAGAAGCAAAACCGCGAGGCAGAGCAAAACUCUAAAACCGGUCCCAGUUCGGAUUGCAGGCUGAAACCCGCCUGCAUGAAGUCGGAGUUGCUAGUAAUCGCGAAUCAGAAUGUCGCGGUGAAUGCGUUCCCGGGUCUUGCACUCACCGCCCGUCA